CCCUGGUGGCUCAGUGGUAAAGAAUCUGCCUGUAAUGCACAAGACCCAGGUUCAAUCCCUGGAUCAGGAA
rnacentral:tRNA from 1 species